UGCAGAACACCCGCAGUCCCAAUGCAGCAUUGAGAAGCGGGAUUUUCAUGCAGGAAAAAUGGAGCGUUCAAGCCUUUAAUCAAAAAUAAACCCAAACCAGCCCAUCAAGACAAAAACAAAUACAUGAACUGCACCAAAACAAGGUAUGUCUGAGAAGGGAAAUGUUUAUAAGUGCUGUAAGGAGAGGACUUUCUGUGUCUCAUUUACAACGCUUCUUCUCUUCUGACAGCACUGUUUAAAGCGCAGAAAAUACCAAAUCAGACACGUCUUACAUUGUGAGAAACACAAUAUUUUAAACAGAAAAUGUUAAAAACACAACAUGUUAUAUCAUCACAUUCUGGCCAACGAUGCAUUCAUCUUAAAACAACAACCAGGAGCACGCUGGUACCGUCCUUUGCUCUAUAAUACUGGAGUGGUCAGAUCAGACGAGGCUGCACUUAAAGAAGUGAAGAUGAAGAUGAACACAUUGCAAAGGAAGAGCUACCAUUCAGUUUGAUACACUCUGCAAAAAAAAAAAAAAAAAAAAAAA